CGGGUUUUCUCAUCAUGGUUUUGUUUGCUUUGGCCACUGCUGAGGUUAAUGCCUCUGCUUUCUCUGUCUUUAUCAUCUCUGUUCCACCAUAUCCAUCCAUGCCCCAGAGGCACUGAGUUCCCACCCAGGUAGGUGCCACUGAUUUAACUCUGAGACAGUUCCUCUGUGGGCAAAAGUGGGAGUUAGAUGAGCUAUGUCCACAGAAAUGUGGAAAGGACCAGGGUGUUGGCAUGUGUCCGGCACUUACAGUCCCCAGCGAACAGUGUUCUGAAACUCAUCAUUAAUUCAGCAACUCCUUGAAUUGAGAAGAGGGAAAUUCAUACUUGCUGGAAAGCUCAUGACCUUGGGACAAAUCAACCCAUCCCUACCAUUGCCCUUCCUUUCCGGCACUGGAUAUAGCCAGCUUGUGGUUAUUCAAAGCACCACUGGACAGUUUGUAGAUUAUUUCUAACAACAAAAAGAUAACAAGAUGGAAUGCCUAACGAUGUCACUUUUAGCCUGCUGUUUUACCCCGUGGUGCUGACCACAUGGACGGGUGCCUUGCCCCCAAGGUGAAGCCAGCUGUCAGCAAAGCUGCCCAGAGCUUUGCUGGUUCUGUGUACCAGCGCACACGGUACAGGGACUUGCUCAGAGCAGACCCCAAUUCUGGCCUCAUCAUCAUUAAUAG
rnacentral:lncRNA from 1 species